AGUCAUAUAUCAUCUCUAUCCUAUAAUUGGUAGUUUGUGUAGACCAAUCGGUGAACAAGCAACAUUGGUUGUCUCUGGAUAUUACAAGUUGAAGACAGUCUGGAGACAUUCACGUUUUUUCCACCGUCAAGUGGAUAUGUCUGCAGUGAUAAUCAGGAUAUAAAAAAUGCAUACUUCAGGGUUUGAUUCCCUUAGCAAAGUCUGUGAAACUGAACUUCUGUCCCUCGCGUCAAAAGAACCAGCAUGCUUAGCCAUCACGCCUUUCGUUGCUACAGUCUUCCAAUCUCCCAGCUUGCAUGCAAAGGGUUAACCCCCAGGGCUCACCUCUGUGUCAUUAUUGAGGUUCCAGAGGUCCAGUCGCCCCAUCCCGUCCACACAG